rnacentral:rRNA from 1 species
GUGCCAGCAGCCGCGGUAAUACGUAGGGUGCAAGCGUUGUCCGGAAUUACUGGGCGUAAAGAGUUCGUAGGCGGUUUGUCGCGUCGUUUGUGAAAACCAGCAGCUCAGCUGCUGGCUUGCAGGCGAUACGGGCAGACUUGAGUACUGCAGGGGAGACUGGAAUUCCUGGUGUAGCGGUGAAAUGCGCAGAUAUCAGGAGGAACACCGGUGGCGAAGGCGGGUCUCUGGGCAGUAACUGACGCUGAGGAACGAAAGCGUGGGUAGCGAACAGGAUUAGAUACCCUGGUAGUCCACGCCGUAGACGGUGGGCGCUAGGUGUGGGUUCCUUCCACGGAAUCCGUGCCGUAGCUAACGCAUUAAGCGCCCCGCCUGGGGAGUACGGCCGCAAGGCUAAAACUCAAAGGAAUUGACGGGGGCCCGCACAAGCGGCGGAGCAUGUGGAUUAAUCCGAUGCAACGCGAANAACCUUACCUGGGUUUGACNUAUACCGNAAANCUGCAAANNNGU